ensembl:misc_RNA Gm22207 predicted gene, 22207
AGAUGUGUUGAAAUGUUGGCUGGCACCUCUCUUACCACAGUGAUUACCUGAGUUGAUCUGGAUAAGCUAUCUGUAGAUUGCCUUCCUCUUUCCUCCCUGUUCCACACUGCGUCCCUCUCAAAGCUCUGUGCUCUGUGGAAGAGGAUGAUGGCCUUCCAUGAUGGAGGAGGACCAUGCUUCAGCGGCAGACAAGCGGCUGUGUUCCCCUGCUGGGACCCCCCCCAAGCAAGCUCUUGAGAAGAACAAGAUUUGGGGGCUCACAGUUUGAUGCCAUCCAUGCAGGCCUGUAACAAGUUGCACACAGUGGCGGGAACCUGU